rnacentral:lncRNA from 1 species
UCUUCUGUAUACCUGUUUUCUGGUUUAUAUUUGUAGCUCUGCCACUAUGAACUAAUAUUUGUUUGAGAUUAUAGGUCUCGCAAUUUGUUUGUAUAUUUUUCAGGUUGUCGCAGAACGGGCUGGACAGUUGCAAAACAACCUGAAAAUUAUGGCGGUUAAAACUCCCGAAAAAACACAAAAUAAACCGCCGUAAAAGCCCUUAUUUCUUGUAGUGUCAAACGUUUGUUUAAAAAAUUUGUUUCCCUCCAAAUGAGUUGCGAGAUGGUGUAUUUAUUAAAUUUUUUUU